rnacentral:rRNA from 1 species
AGCUCCUACGGGGGGCAGCAGUGAGGAAUAUUGGUCAAUGGACGAGAGUCUGAACCAGCCAAGUAGCGUGAAGGAUGACUGCCCUAUGGGUUGUAAACUUCUUUUAUAUGGGAAUAAAACAGGGUAUGCAUACCCUCUUGUAUGUACCAUAUGAAUAAGGACCGGCUAAUUCCGUGCCAGCAGCCGCGGUAAUACGGAAGGUCCGGGCGUUAUCCGGAUUUAUUGGGUUUAAAGGGAGCGCAGGCCGCCCCUUAAGCGUGUUGUGAAAUGCCGCGGCUCAACCGUGGCACUGCAGAG